rnacentral:rRNA from 2 species
UACGGAGGGUGCAAGCGUUAUCCGGAUUCACUGGGUUUAAAGGGUGCGUAGGUGGGCAGGUAAGUCAGUGGUGAAAUCUCUGGGCUUAACCCGGAAACUGCCGUUGAUACUAUCUGUCUUGAAUAUAGUGGAGGUGAGCGGAAUAUGUCAUGUAGCGGUGAAAUGCUUAGAUAUGACAUAGAACAUCGAUUGCGAAGGCAGCUCGCUACACUAUGAUUGACACUGAGGCACGAAAGCGUGGGGAUCAAACAGG